rnacentral:misc_RNA from 1 species
AGAGUUUGGUUGUAGCUGGCCCCUAAUUAACUUGGGGGCAUGUGCACACCUUUCUCUUUCAUCCCAUAUACACCUGUGCACCUGUGAGACAGAUGUUUUCUAGGGGGGAAGGAACUUUAUUGGACCUACUCUCCUUGGACUCUCUGUCUACCUAAUCUAUAUAAACUCAAUUUAUUUUAAAAUGAAUGUAAUGGAUGUAACACAUCUAAUACUAAGUUUCAACAACGGAUCUCUUGGCUCUCGCAUCGAUGAAGAACGCAGCGAAAUGCGAUAAGUAAUGUGAAUUGCAGAAUUCAGUGAAUCAUCGAAUCUUUGAACGCACCUUGCGCUCCUUGGUAUUCCUUGGAGCAUGCCUGUUUGAGUAUCAUGAAAUCUUCAAAGUCAAACCUUUUGUUAACUCAAUUGGUUCUGCUUUGGUAUUGGAGGUCUAUUGCAGCUUCACACCUGCUCCUCUUUGUGCAUUAGCUGGAUCUCAGUGUUAUGCUUGGUUCCACUCAGCGUGAUAAGUUAUCUAUCGCUGAGGACACCCUGUUAAAAAGGGGUGGCCAAGGUAAAUGCAGAUGAACCGCUUCUAACAGUCCAUUGACUUGGACAAAUAUUAAUUUUAUGAUCUGAUCUCAAAUC